GGAGAGCGGGAAGGAAGAUGGCUUCGUAGCGACGGGCACCAAAAGAGAACGCAUCUUCCCUUCCUACGCCCAGCAGCUUGGCGCAAACGCAGGGACCCCUAAUUAGAUGGGAAAGCAGCCUUUCUUUCUCCAUUGGGGGCGGUUUCCCCCUUCUAGAGGGUCGUCUCGCGGCGAGGAGCGGCAGAGCCAAGCCAGCAGGGAGUGUGUGCGUGUAUGUGUGUGGACGCGCCCGCCCCUUAGAGAGAGAAACCCACGCCUAGGAGGCGCCAUGUCUGUAAGGGAGCGAUAAGCAACAGGGGCUGCAUAGGGGUCUCUCUCAUUCUGUCUCGGGGAAGCCCCCUGCCCGGACCUACUCCCUCCCGCCGCAUCCCCACGUGCUCGGGAAUGUCUCCUCUGCUCCGCAGGAGGGGGCGGCCCCCAAACGUGCCCUCCCCGCAUGGAGGGGGAGAGGGAGAGGAGUGGGAGGAAGGCGCACAUGGAGCAGCCACGCACAGGCGGGGAGAGGGUCAGCCUCGUGUGAAAGCAAAGCCUCUUGACACGCCCGCUCCCCACAUACAGAUAGACGUUUAUCUGCGUGUAUAUAUCCGCACGUGUAUGUGUAUCUCUAUGAACUAUCAUUUUUUUAAAAAACUGGGAAGAUUAGCUAUCCGCUAUGUAUCUUCCCCCUUCCAGUAAUGGGUGGUUUACAUGCUUGAUUUCUCCCCUUUCAUCCAGCCUUACAUUUGGAGUGUUUCAUCCUUCAGCUUGUCAAGUCUGAUAUCUUGAGGGCUGCUGUUUUCAGCUUCAGCAAGCCCCGAGAGCAUGGCCAAUGGUUCAGGGUGGUGGAAGUUGUGGUCCAAAAGCCUGAAGGCCACUUGGUUAGGGUUGUAUCAUAGCACACAUUGGGUUGCUGUGAGUUUUCCGGGUUGUAGGCCAUGUUCCAGAAGCAUUCUUUCCUGACAUUUCACCUGCAUCUAUGGCAGGCAUCCUCAGAGGUUGUGAGGCCUGUUGGAAACUAGGCAAGUGGAGUUUAUAGAUCUGUGGAAUGUUCAGGUGGAAGAAAGAACUUGUCUAUUGAGGCAAGUAUGAAUGUUGCAAUUGGCCAGCUUGAUUAGCCUUGCAGCUUCAAAGCCUGGCUGCUUCCUGCCCGGAGAAUCCUUUGUUGGCAGAUGCUAACUUUCCCUGAUGGUUUCUUGUCUGGAAUUCCCUUGUCUUCUGAGUGUUGUUCUUUAUUUACUGUCCUGAUUUUAGAGUUUUUGAAAUACUGGCAGCCAAGUUUUAUUCAUUUUCAUGGUUUCCUCAUUUCUGUUGAAACUGUUCACAUACUUGUGAAUUUGAGUAGCUCCUCCAUGUACUUUGACAUGGUGGUUGUUAGAAGUUCUGUGUUCUCAAAUAAUAUGCAGUGUCCAGGUUGGUUCAUCAAGUACAGUAGAGUCUCACUUAUCCAACGUUCUGGAUUAUCCAACGCAUUUUUGUAGUCAAUGUUUUCAAUAUAUCAUGUUAUUUUGGUGCUAAAUUCGUAAAUACAGUAAUCACUACAUAGCAUUAAUGUGUAAUGAACUACUUUUUCUGUCAAAUUUGUUGUAUAACAUGAUGUUUUGGUGCUUAAUUUGUAAAAUCAUAACCUAUUUUGAUGUUUAAUAGGCUUUUGCUUAAUCUCUCCUUAUUAUCCAACAUAUUCACUUAUCCAACAUUCUGCCGGCCCGUUUAUGUUGGAUAAGUGAGACUCUACAGUACUUGCUAUGGCUGAUUUCUCUGGUUGAGUUAGUCUGCAGUGCCUUUCAUGUUCUUUGAUUCAUGUUUGAGCAGUGCUGCGUUUGGUGGUCCCUAUGUAUAGCACAUAUUCUUCCUCAUUCAGGACACCCCCAAGAGAGCCCAAGCUGUGUAUCAGAAUAUGAGGGCCCAAAUGCGCAGAAGCACAUGUAUCAAACCCAAGGCCUGUGGCCCAAAUCCAUCCCACCAUGUUGUUUUAUGUGGCCCUCUAGAUGCUGGGCUACUCUAUUCCUCAUCGUAAGACAUCAUGAUCAGAGCUGAUGGAAAUCAAGAUACUGUAACUUCUGAAUCACUGCAAUUUGUUCUGCUUAGUCAGUAUAGUAGGGUUUGGAUCUAGAAACAAUGCUUGUGGAUAUGAUGUCUGACUUUAAAAUGUCUUUUAACCUUUCCCCAUCCUCAGAGCCACAAGAGCUUUUGGGUUGGAAUUCCCAUCAUCCCAAGUCCACAUGGCGGUAAUCAAAAUGGUGGGAGUUGUCCUUCAAUAACAUCCGGGGACCCAAAUUAGGUAAAAACUAAAUACCGACCACUAUGUGAAAAAAAAUUAUACAGGCCCUUUGUAUCCAUGGAUCCUCCAGCCCUUUGAAGGCAACCAUAAUGCUGAUGUGGGCCUCAAUGAAAAUGAGUUUACAUCCCUGGUCUUGCCUGAUAUUGGAAGCCAAGAAGGGGAAGCACUUGUUAGGGCUUAGAUAGGAAUCUGUCAAAGAAUGCAUAUACAUAAUACACAAUGUGCACAAAAUUGGGGAGUUCUGCACAUCAAGCCCUACUCUGCAAAAUUGGACAGAAAAAGAUCAUUGGGGGAGUUGAGGAAGAGACUCACUGCUGGGUGAGGUGGGGGUACAGCCAUCCAUUAGACAAAGCCAGAUGACCCCCUCAAAAAUCAGAUCUAGAAAUAACACAGCUUGACACCAUUUUAACAGCCAUGGCUCAAUGCUACAGAAUCCUAGGAGUUGAGAAUUCAGUGAGUCCGCAGCACUCUCUGGCAGAGAAGGCGAAAUGCCUUGCCAAACUACAACUGUAGCCUUGAGCCACAGCAGUUAAGUGGUGUCCAACUGCAUUAAUUCUAGUCUAUAUGCACCCUUAGUUAUCAUGAAAGGGCUACAUUUUUUUCUACCAAGGAAGGUGAGACGCUCCUUGGAAUUCCUGCCACAAGUGCCAAAACAAGCUGACUGUUUGCUGUUUUGGGGGAAAGUGUAGGUUGGAGAUUUUUAACUUUGUGUACUCUGAUUUAAGAAGAUCUCAUCAUUUUCUGUAUAUAUGUGCCUUUGUGUCCCCUGCCAACUACAUUAAUUUCAUAGGAUUUUCUUAGGCAAGGAAUACUCAGAGGUGGUUGUUAGUUCCUUCUCUUGAAAUAUAGCCUACAGCACCUGGUAUUCCUUGGCGGUCUCCGGUCCAAGACCUAACAAGAGCUAUCCCUUCCUUGGCUUCCAAAAUCAGACAAGACUUUAGUGCAUUUGAGCCCUCUGAAAUACAGCCUGUACUGUCUUGGCUGAAGUGGCGUCGUUUCUGAGGAAGAGAAUGUGUGCUAUGAUGCAGCACUAACCUAGCUGCCUUCAGAUUUUUGACUACAACUCCCACCACUCCAGUCAUGGUCAUGCUGGCUAGGCUUGCUGGGAUCUGAAGCUGAAAACCUCCAACCUACACCUUCUGGAAAACAGCUACUGUCAGGAUACCGCACCUCCCUUUUAACACUCUUCACAAGUUGAAAGAGAGCACACAAGAUGUAAAUAAAUUUGGCUAGAUGAAAGUGGAGAAAUCAAGUUUAUAAACCAACCAUUACUGAAACUGGGGAGAAAUACCUAAUCUAUUUUUUAUAAAGGCUUGCCUUAAAGACUUUCUACAUCAUUCCAAAUGAAUGUGGGUAAGCCACUGAUGAAGGAAAGGCACUUUACACAUACCCAUAGAUGCCUUCUCUCCCCAUCACAGCUGAGGUAAGGUAGGUAAAGGUUUUCACCUGACGUUAAGUCCAGUCAUGUCUGACUCUGGGGGUUGGUGCUCAUCUCCGUUUCUAAGCCGAAGAGCCGGCGUUAUCCCUAGACACCUCCAAGGUCAUGUGGCCGGCAUGACUGCAUGGAGCGCCGUUACCUUCCCGCCAGAGCAGUACCUAUUGAUCUACUUACAUUGGCAUGUUUUCGAACUGCUAGGUUGGCAAAAGCUGGAGCUAACAGCGGGCGCUCGCUCCUCUUCCGGGAUUUGAACCUGGGACCUUUCGGUCUGCAAGUUCAGCAGCUUCAGUGCUUUAACACACUUCGCCACCGGGGCUCCAGCUGAGGUGCCAGGGUUACGGCACAUGAAAGAUGGAGGUUUGGACCCCUAAAACACCCCAUUGUGGAGAAAAAAAGGAGAACCAUCGCCACUUAAGGUUGCAAACCAGGGCAGUAUAAAAAUGUUGACAAUGCUCUAUGUCGUGUAGUAUGAAAUAUUCAACCAAGAAUUAAUUCAUUAUGUAAAAAUAAACAAGCACAUCCAUCUUAUUACUAUGCAAAUUGGCCUUUUGUCUUUAAUAAAUGGUAAAUUUAAUAUGUAUACCAAAUAAUGGUUUUAAAAUAAAUUUCAUGAUGAUUUAUAAUCAGUAAA